rnacentral:misc_RNA from 1 species
UGUAAACAAGAAGGCGGGCCUUGCGACCAACUAGAUCCCUGGAUUUCACUAGCUUACACGUUUCCUUUGGCUGAAGUUUUGUUCGUCAAAUGUCUUUAUGGCAUUGAUAUUUAAUGCUAUAUUAAUGUAGUACAGGCAAAUGUUUGGUCUAUUACAUUCAACGUCUUUUGUUUACUGGAAAGCCCUGUCAAACUUAGCCAGAAAUCGAUGCUUGUUGUCGAGGUCCCGCGAUCUUUUGUCAGCCGCAUCGUGCUCAAACAUGAAGCCAUCGACACCAGCAGUGAAAGCAGUCAUAUUUGACCUAGGAGGCGUGAUCCUGGAACAGCCACAAAGAGGCCUUAGAAGAUACGCAGAAAGUCUAGGUUUUCCAGGAUUCUUUUUGGAGAGUGUGAUGAUCAGAGGGCGCCCUCACAAUUCUUUUUGCAGAAUGGAAAGGGGAGAAAUAUCAGUAACCCAGUUUUACCGGGAAUUUGAGGCUGAAUGCCAGGAAGCAGCCAAAGAUGAAGGGCUUAAACUGCCAUCAAGUUUCCGUCCAGAGUCGAUGUGGAGUGAGAUGCACAGUGUUAAACCUGUUGCUGGGAUGCUGCAAGCUCUCAUUGCUUUGAAACAAGCUGGUUUGAAGACUUGUGUUCUAACAAAUAAUUACAUUGACGAUACAUCAUCAAAUCGACCUCAUUCACAUUUUAUGAUGUCGUUAAAAUCCUGUCUGGAUGAGAUAAUUGAGUCGUGCCGAGUGGGGCUUCGCAAACCUGACCCAGAGAUCUACAGAUUGACCUGUGACAGGCUGCAAGUGAAACCCUCUGAGGCUGUCUUCCUUGAUGAUCUUGGGCAAAAUUUAAAACCAGCCAAAGAACUUGGUAUACAAACUAUCCUGGUGCGAGAUGUGGAUAAAGCAUUAAAUGAACUGAAAGAGGCCACAGGCAUUGAUGUCUUUAAAACCCCCAGACCUCUUGCUGCACAGCCGAGUAAGGUAUCGCACUGCAACGUUGACCUGAAGGAUGGAAUACGCAUUCAUUACGUUGAUUAUGGAAGUGGCCCACCUGUCAUCUUCUGCCACGGCUUCCCGGAAAGUUGGUACUCUUGGCGUUACCAGAUACCAGCCCUGGGCAAUGCAGGCUACCGGGUGAUAGCUUUGGACCAGAGAGGUUAUGGGGACAGCAGCAAUCCACCAGAUAUUGAAGCCUACACACAGGAAAAGCUGUGUGGGGAUGUUAUUGGACUGAUGGAUGUGCUAGGCCUACCUCAAGCCAGUAUAGUGGGGCAUGAUUGGGGUGGAGCUGUUGUCUGGAACUUAGCUCUGAUGUAUCCUGAAAGAAUAAGAUGUGUUGCAGGGCUAAAUACACCAUUCUUUCCGCCAAACCCAAAGAGCAACCCAUGGCACGCGAUGCAAAAGGACCCAGGACGAUUUGAUUAUCAGAUGUACUUUCAAACACCAGGAGUCGCAGAGGCUGAGUUUGAAGGUGAUUUAGAGCGAACAUUCAAGAUUAUGUUUCGAUCGAGAGACCCGAAGGAUGCUUUAAAAUCUCCACAAAACUUGAAAAUUUCCACAGGCAAUGUUCGGGAACGGGGUGGCUUGCUUGUUGGAUCACCUGACAACGUCGCAAGAAGUGUGAUGCUAACGGAGGAGGACCUGCAGUAUUACAUCAAGCAGUUUAAAAAGAGUGGCUUUAGGGGUCCCUUGAACUGGUAUCGUAAUAUUGAGGCCAACUGGAAAUGGAUGUGCAAAGCUGCAGGAAGAAAGAUAUAUGCACCGUCCCUAAUGAUCACAGCUGGUCGUGAUACUGUUCUCACGCCAGCAUCAAGCAAACAUAUGGAGAAAUGGAUUCCAAACUUAAAACGAGGUCAUAUCGAAGUCUGCAACCAUUGGACACAAGUUGAAAGACCUAAAGAGGUAAAUGAGAUGUUAAUCAACUGGUUGAAUGGUGUACAUGCAAGUACAGAUACAAUAGAGCCAUCUAAACUAUGAAAAGAUUAAAACUGAAUGUUAUUGUAUGCAACACAAGAUAAUUCCCUCCACUGGACAUAGAGGUAUUAUAUGCAUAUGUCUCUAUGCAUUGAAUUCGUUUUCCUGGAUACUUUCUUUGAUAUUACUUAUAAAUUCUAUCAAUGAAGAUUCAAAUUAGUUAUCAUAGAAACAAUGAAAUAUGAGGACCAAAUCUUUAUACAAUCAAAUAUUAUUAAAAUACUGCUUUGGUCUCUAAUUAGAAUAAUAAAGAUAAGACAUAAUGUUAAUUUGGGACCACAGAAUAGGUGGUCUUUAAUUGGAGGGGUCACUAUUGCACAAAUUGAAAUGUACGAUGGUACAAUGUCUUGUAAUUUUUUCUAUUAAAGUAUACUGAAAUUGAA